rnacentral:rRNA from 1 species
CGGCAGCGACACUUUGUGUUGUUGGGUAGGGGAGCGUUCUGUAAGCCUGUGAAGGUGUGCUGUGAGGCAUGCUGGAGGUAUCAGAAGUGCGAAUGCUGACAUAAGUAACGAUAAAGCGGGUGAAAAGCCCGCUCGCCGGAAGACCAAGGGUUCCUGUCCAACGUUAAUCGGGGCAGGGUGAGUCGACCCCUAAGGCGAGGCCGAAAGGCGUAGUCGAUGGGAAACAGGUUAAUAUUCCUGUACUUGGUGUUACUGCGAAGGGGGGACGGAGAAGGCUAUGUUGGCCGGGCGACGGUUGUCCCGGUUUAAGCGUGUAGGCUGGUUUUCCAGGCAAAUCCGGAAAAUCAAGGCUGAGGCGUGAUGACGAGGCACUACGGUGCUGAAGCAACAAAUGCCCUGCUUCCAGGAAAAGCCUCUAAGCAUCAGGUAACAUCAAAUCGUACCCCAAACCGACACAGGUGGUCAGGUAGAGAAUACCAAGGCGCUUGAGAGAACUCGGGUGAAGGAACUAGGCAAAAUGGUGCCGUAACUUCGGGAGAAGGCACGCUGAUAUGUAGGUGAAGUCCCUCGCGGAUGGAGCUGAAAUCAGUCGAAGAUACCAGCUGGCUGCAACUGUUUAUUAAAAACACAGCACUGUGCAAACACGAAAGUGGACGUAUACGGUGUGACGCCUGCCCGGUGCCGGAAGGUUAAUUGAUGGGGUCAGCGCAAGCGAAGCUCUUGAUCGAAGCCCCGGUAAACGGCGGCCGUAACUAUAACGGUCCUAAGGUAGCGAAAUUCCUUGUCGGGUAAGUUCCGACCUGCACGAAUGGCGUAAUGAUGGCCAGGCUGUCUCCACCCGAGACUCAGUGAAAUUGAACUCGCUGUGAAGAUGCAGUGUACCCGCGGCAAGACGGAAAGACCCCGUGAACCUUUACUAUAGCUUGACACUGAACAUUGAGCCUUGAUGUGUAGGAUAGGUGGGAGGCUUAGAAGUGUGGACGCCAGUCUGCAUGGAGCCGACCUUGAAAUACCACCCUUUAAUGUUUGAUGUUCUAACGUUGACCCGUAAUCCGGGUUGCGGACAGUGUCUGGUGGGUAGUUUGACUGGGGCGGUCUCCUCCUAAAGAGUAACGGAGGAGCACGAAGGUUGGCUAAUCCUGGUCGGACAUCAGGAGGUUAGUGCAAUGGCAUAAGCCAGCUUGACUGCGAGCGUGACGGCGCGAGCAGGUGCGAAAGCAGGUCAUAGUGAUCCGGUGGUUCUGAAUGGAAGGGCCAUCGCUCAACGGAUAAAAGGUACUCCGGGGAUAACAGGCUGAUACCGCCCAAGAGUUCAUAUCGACGGCGGUGUUUGGCACCUCGAUGUCGGCUCAUCACAUCCUGGGGCUGAAGUAGGUCCCAAGGGUAUGGCUGUUCGCCAUUUAAAGUGGUACGCGAGCUGGGUUUAGAACGUCGUGAGACAGUUCGGUCCCUAUCUGCCGUGGGCGCUGGAGAACUGAGGGGGGCUGCUCCUAGUACGAGAGGACCGGAGUGGACGCAUCACUGGUGUUCGGGUUGUCAUGCCAAUGGCACUGCCCGGUAGCUAAAUGCGGAAGAGAUAAGUGCUGAAAGCAUCUAAGCACGAAACUUGCCCCGAGAUGAGUUCUCCCUGACCCUUUAAGGGUCCUGAAGGAACGUUGAAGACGACGACGUUGAUAGGCCGGGUGUGUAAGCGCAGCGAUGCGUUGAGCUAACCGGUACUAAUGAACCGUGAGGCUUAACC